rnacentral:snRNA from 1 species
AGCUUUGCGCAGUGGCAGUAUCGUAGCCAAUGAGGUUUAUCCGAGGCGCGAUUAUUGCUAAUUGAAGAGACUCCUCUUACCCCGUUGUUUGUUCUUGGUACCUUUGUAGAUGGUCAACUGACUAUAAAUGCCUGGAUUCAAUUCUGUGUUCUCUAUUCUGUUUCAUUG